AUUGAACGCUGGCGGCAGGCCUAACACAUGCAAGUCGAACGAGUGGCGGACGGGUGAGUAAUGUCUGGGAAACUGCCUGAUGGAGGGGGAUAACUCCUGGAAACGGUAGCUAAUACCGCAUACCAUCAGCUGAGCCCACAUGGGAUUAGCUUGUAGGGUGGGUAACGGCUCACAAAGGCGACGAUCCCUAGCUGGUCUGAGAGGAUGACAAGCCACAUGGGAAAUGAGACACGGUCCAGACUACGACGGUAGGCAGCAGUGGGGGAUAUUGCACAAUGGGCGCAAGCCUGAUGCAGCCAUGCCGCGUGUAUGAAGAAGGCCUUCGGGUGGUAAAGUACUUUCAGCGGUGAGGCGUUACCCGCAGAAGAAGCACCGGCUAACUCCGUGCCAGCAGCCGCGGUAAUAC
rnacentral:rRNA from 1 species